GUCUUUUAAUUUUUUUUUAAAAGUUUAACCUGCCCAUUGAAAUUUUUAAAAGGCCGCAAUAUUUUAAUUGUGCAAAGGUAGCAUAAUCAUUAGGUUUUUAAUUGAAAUCUAGUAUGAAUGGUUGAAUGAGAUAUAAGCUGUUUUAAUUUUAAAAAUGAAAUUUAUUUUUUAGUAAAAAAGCUAAAAUAAAAAAAAAAGACGAGAAGACCCUAUAGAGUUUAAUAAAUUAUUAAUAAUUAUUAUUUAUAAAAUUUUUAUUUUUAUUAAAAUUUUAUUUUAUUGGGGUGAUAUUAAAAUUUAAAAAACUUUUAAUUGAUUAAUCAAUUAUAUUUGUUCAAUUGAUCUUAUUUUAUGGAUUAAAAAUAUAAAUUACCUUAGGGAUAACAGAAUAAUUUUUUUAUAAAGUUCUUAUUUAUAAGAAAGAUUAUUACCUCGAUGUUGAAUUAAAAAAAAUAAUAGGUGUAGAAGUUUAAUUAUUAAGUCUGUUCGACUUUUAAAUUCUU
rnacentral:rRNA from 1 species